GUGCUUGCUUCGACAGCACGUGUACUAAAAUUGGAACGGUACAGAGAAGAUUCGCAUGGCCCCUGCAUGAGGGUGACACGCAAAUUCGUGAAGAGUUCUAUAUUAAA
rnacentral:snRNA from 1 species